UACGGAGGGUGCAAGCGUUAAUCGGAAUUACUGGGCGUAAAGCGCACGCAGGUGGCUGAGUCAGUCGAUUGUGAAAGCCCUGGGCUUAACCUGGGAAUUGCAGUCGAUACUACUCAGCUAGAGUAUGGGAGAGGGCAGUGGAAUUCCCGGUGUAGCGGUGAAAUGCGUAGAGAUCGGGAGGAACACCAGAGGCGAAGGCGGCGACCUGGACAAGUACUGACACUCAACUACGAAAGCGUGGGGAGCAAACAGG
rnacentral:rRNA from 1 species